UACGAAGGGGGCUAGCGUUGUUCGGAAUCACUGGGCGUAAAGCGCACGUAGGCGGAUCUUUAAGUCAGGGGUGAAAUCCCGAGGCUCAACCUCGGAACUGCCUUUGAUACUGGGGAUCUCGAGUCCGGGAGAGGUGAGUGGAAUUGCGAGUGUAGAGGUGAAAUUCGUAGAUAUUCGCAAGAACACCAGUGGCGAAGGCGGCUCACUGGCCCGGUACUGACGCUGAGGUGCGAAAGCGUGGGGAGCAA
rnacentral:rRNA from 1 species